rnacentral:lncRNA from 1 species
UGUGUGUAACUAACCCUAUCACCCAAUAUUCCAAUAACUCAUGAACAAUAAGCAGAUGCGUGACUUUUUAAUACUUUCUCCCUCUUGUAAAUGAUAAAAAUGGAUCAAAACAUAAAUAUAAAGUUUUGUUCAUUCAUAUUUUAUUCUCAAACACCACAAAUCUUUGAUAGAGUCUCCUUUGUGUUAGCCCUCAGACUAGGCUUUGGGAACACAGCAGUAAUGACUUAACAAAACCCCUGCUCUCAGGGAGCUUCCAGGACAGGUGGAAACCAAAAACAAAACUACAUGACAGAAACAAUAAUGUAAAUUAUGAUAAGUGCUCUCAAAGAAAAGUAUGAGGAUCUAUAAGUACAUGCAAAAAAAAGCAAAACCUAGUCUAAGGACAUUAGGGAAUAGAAAGAAUGACAAAGAGACAUUAUACAACUGGAAAGAGAAAUAGGCACAGAGCUUGGAAGAUGGACAGGAUGUCAAUCUGUGUAACUCCUUAGGACUUUGAAAUAACCCAAAAUGCAAAUCCUCCAAGUCAACUAUUGGUUUGGCUAUCUUUCCCUCCACCCACUAGCAUCCCAAAUCCCCAUGUUCUAUGAAGAGAAGUAGUUUUGUUCUGCUUUAUGAAUAAUGAGUUGUUUGGUUACCAGAAUCACCAUGCAGCUGUUAUUGUGGCCUGGUCUGUGGCUGCUCCCCUGAGGAGGAAAGCAGAUGGGACAAUAUUGGGAAAAUCCAGAGGCAUUCCUAAGAACAUCUCUGUGAGGCAGAUGUCCAAAGAUCCCCAGAUGCACAAACAUCAAAAGUUCUCAAUUUGCAAGAAAGUUCAAGAACAAAAAUUCAUCUUCACAUGUAAUAUUUGAGCCAUGAAAGAAAGGCAAAUUAAUUAAGAGUCAUAUUUAUUAAUUUAGAUUAAAGGACAGAAGAGAGCACUUACUUUUAAAAUCCUUGGGUGGAUGAUGGUAAAAAUUUGUAAUCUCAAAUCAAAAUAAAAUAGAAGGUUAAGAAAAUAGAUCAUUCAACAUUCCUAAACAUGCUGAGUGAAUGAAAAACUGCUUCUCCCACUAUUUAAGAAUUAGAGCAUCUUGACAUGUGUCUGGGCUUCUCCCAGCCUGUUUAUUUCAUAAGGCACAUUUGGAGAAGAGCAUGUCCCCAGCACCAUUUCCAUGGCACCAGAAGCAGGUUAUUCUCUUGUGUCUGUGCUCUUCUUUCUGGGGCCACACUCAAGCUGCAGGUACCAUGACUGGUGAGACCCACGGGGCCACACCUGGCCACCUCCCUUGCUCAGGUGUCCAUAGUCUCCUACUAAUGGCUCUGGAGUCCCUGCUACUUCCCUUCACUCACCCUACUCCUCACCUGGAAUCCUCUUAAAAUCUAAUUUGCAAUUUAUUUUCUUCUCUCUCUACUUUGCCAUUAUAACAUUUCUGUUCCUCCUCCCAUUUUUGAUUUAGGAAACUAGUCUAAGUUUCCUGACUGUGGUGAGCUAUAUUUCCUUUUUUCAAGAUCUGGAAAAUGUGAUCUCCCCAGCUCUGUUCUGGAGUCAUUUUGACCCUCUAGAAAAAGUAUAUUGAUUUCAGCCCAAUAUUGCAAGCUUCUUUCUCAGAGAUGCGUCCCUGUUAUAUUUAUACAAUAUAAUUAUUCUGGGCUCUGAUUCCAGCACCAGGCAGACAUGAAUUUAGAUCUCAGCUUGACCACUUACUGAGCUGGACUUGGACAAGCCACUUCCAUUCUAUAAAUCUCAAAGGAACUAAAAAUGAUGUUGUCUGCCUCAAACAUUAUUGUAUUACACAAGAGCAUCUCACAAAGUUUUUGCAUAUGACCUUAUGCAUAACAUGCACUCAAGGUCAAAAAUUAUUUGUUUUGAGAUGUACAUAUUCUCUGGCCUCAAAAAGUCUAUUGGGUGAUAAAGAAGAAAAAGGCAGAGCCUUCCCACACUUUUUCAGAGACCUUCCUUUAGUUCAACACUUUUCAAACAUCAAAUUAGGGAAGGAGAAAUCCAUUUUGUGAGUCAGACUGCAUAUUUUUAAACUAGAAUAGAGAGUUUCAAAAAUGAAUAGAUCAGAGUACAUUUUAUGUUGUAAGCAAUUGAUGAUAUUUGUCAAACAUAUAUGUAUCUUUAUG